GCUGUAUGCCCGUCUUGGGCGUUUCCUCCCUAAACUCGGGCCGUGCUUGUCACGGCCCCUUUUUUUCCCGACG
rfam:Kaistia sp. SCN 65-12 ABS35_C0468, whole genome shotgun sequence.